CACGUAGGGGGCGAGCGUUGUCCGGAAUUACUGGGCGUAAAGGGCGUGUAGGCGGCCGAUCAAGUCAGGUGUGAAAAAUCAGGGCUUAACCCUGAUCGUGCACUUGAAACUGGUUGGCUUGAGUGCAGGAGAGGAAAGUGGAAUUCCCAGUGUAGCGGUGAAAUGCGUAGAUAUUGGGAGGAACACCAGUGGCGAAGGCGACUUUCUGGACUGCAACUGACGCUGAGGCGCGAAAGCUAGGGGAGCAAACAGGAUUAGAUACC
rnacentral:rRNA from 1 species